rnacentral:rRNA from 1 species
UACAGAGGUCCCGAGCGUUGUUCGGAUUCACUGGGCGUAAAGGGUGCGUAGGUGGUAGGGUAAGUCGGAUGUGAAAGCUCGGAGCUCAACUCCGAAAAGGCAUUGGAAACUGCCCUACUAGAGGGUCGGAGGGGGGACUGGAAUUCUCGGUGUAGCAGUGAAAUGCGUAGAUAUCGAGAGGAACACCAGUGGCGAAGGCGAGUCCCUGGACGACACCUGACACUGAGGCACGAAAGCUAGGGGAGCAAACAGG